GACGAACGCUGGCGGCGUGCUUAACACAUGCAAGUCGAACGGAAAGGCCCUGCUUUUGUGGGUUGCUCGAGUGGCGAACGGGUGAGUAACACGUGAGUAACCUUCCCUUUACUUUGGGAUAACUUCAGGAAACUGGGGCUAAUACCGGAUAUGAGCUCCUGCUGCAUGGUGGGGGUUGGAAAGUUUCGGCGGUUGGGGAUGGACUCGCGGCUUAUCAGCUUGUUGGUGGGGUAGUGGCUUACCAAGGCUUUGACGGGUAGCCGGCCUGAGAGGGUGACCGGCCACAUUGGGACUGAGAUACGGCCCAGACUCCUACGGGAGGCAGAAGGGGGGAAUAUUGCACAAUGGGCGGAAGCCUGAUGCAGCAACGCCGCGUGCGGGAUGACGGCCUUCGGGUUGUAACCCGCUUUCGCCUGUGACGAAGCGUGAGUGACGGUAAUGGGUAAAGAAGCACCGGCUAACUACGUG
rnacentral:rRNA from 1 species